rnacentral:rRNA from 1 species
CCUACGGGGGGCUGCAGUGGGGAAUUUUGGACAAUGGGGGCAACCCUGAUCCAGCCAUGCCGCGUGCGGGAAGAAGGCCUUCGGGUUGUAAACCGCUUUCGGACGGAAAGAAAUCGCAUGGACUAAUACUCUGUGUGGAUGACGGUACCGUAAGAAGAAGCACCGGCUAACUACGUGCCAGCAGCCGCGGUAAUACGUAGGGUGCGAGCGUUAAUCGGAAUUACUGGGCGUAAAGCGUGCGCAGGCGGUUUCUUAAGCCAGACGUGAAAUCCCCGGGCUUAACCUGGGAACUGCGUUUGGAACUGGGAGACUAGAGUGUGUCAGAGGGAGGUGGAAUUCCGCGUGUAGCAGUGAAAUGCGUAGAUAUGCGGAGGAACACCGAUGGCGAAGGCAGCCUCCUGGGAUAACACUGACGCUCAUGCACGAAAGCGUGGGGAGCAAACAGGAUUAGAUACCCCAGUAGUC